GACGAACGCUGGCGGCGUGCCUAAUACAUGCAAGUCGAGCGAAUGGAUUAAGAGCUUGCUCUUAUGAAGUUAGCGGCGGACGGGUGAGUAACACGUGGGUAACCUGCCCAUAAGACUGGGAUAACUCCGGGAAACCGGGGCUAAUACCGGAUAACAUUUUGAACCGCAUGGUUCGAAAUUGAAAGGCGGCUUCGGCUGUCACUUAUGGAUGGACCCGCGUCGCAUUAGCUAGUUGGUGAGGUAACGGCUCACCAAGGCAACGAUGCGUAGCCGACCUGAGAGGGUGAUCGGCCACACUGGGACUGAGACACGGCCCAGACUCCUACGGGAGGCAGCAGUAGGGAAUCUUCCGCAAUGGACGAAAGUCUGACGGAGCAACGCCGCGUGAGUGAUGAAGGCUUUCGGGUCGUAAAACUCUGUUGUUAGGGAAGAACAAGUGCUUGUUGAAUAAGCUGACACCAUGACGGUACCUAACCAGAAAGCCACGGCUAACUACGUGCCAGCCGCCGCAGUAA
rnacentral:rRNA from 1 species